UGAGGAAUAUUGGUCAAUGGGCGAGAGCCUGAACCAGCCAAGUAGCGUGCAGGAUGACGGCCCUAUGGGUUGUAAACUGCUUUUGUAUGGGGAUAAAGUCAAUCACGUGUGAUUGUUUGCAGGUACCAUACGAAUAAGGACCGGCUAAUUCCGUGCCAGCAGCCGCGGUAAUACGGAAGGUCCGGGCGUUAUCCGGAUUUAUUGGGUUUAAAGGGAGCGUAGGCUGGAGAUUAAGUGUGUUGUGAAAUGUAGACGCUCAACGUCUGACUUGCAGCGCAUACUGGUUUCCUUGAGUACGCACAACGUUGGCGGAAUUCGUCGUGUAGCGGUGAAAUGCUUAGAUAUGACGAAGAACUCCGAUUGCGAAGGCAGCUGACGGGAGCGCAACUGACGCUGAAGCUCGAAGGUGCGGGUAUCGAGCAGGAUUAGAUACCCUGGUAGUCCGCACAGUAAACGAUGGAUGCCCGCUGUUGGUACUUGGUAUCAGCGGCUAAGCGAAAGCAUUAAGCAUCCCACCUGGGGAGUACGCCGGCAACGGUG
rnacentral:rRNA from 1 species